ensembl:lncRNA
AAUGUUGGCGGGCAUCUGCACAAGGGUACCUCACUGAUUUGCCCCUUCCCAUUCAUUGCAGGAGGAAACCUGGGUGUCCUCAUCAAAGCCCCUCAGGAUUCGGUCAAUGGCACUGUGGGCCACUCCGUGCUCCUGCCCGUCUCCUACAAAUUCACAAACUCCUCUUGCUUCCCACUGUCGUUUCACUGGACGUUCAGUAACCGCUCGGACGCGCUCAUCACCUGCACGGUGCUGAACUGCUCCCUGAGCGCGGAGGGGGCUCCCAAGCACUGCUUUGCAAAGCAUUUCCCACACGCCGCGUACCGAGGUCGCGUUGUGCUUUUCCCUGAGAACGCGUCCCUGCUGCUCCGGGACCUGCAGCUCAGCGACGGCGGGGUGUACAGCGUCACCUUCAAGCAGCAGAUCCAAACCAGGCACAUCACCUUAACUGUGUAUGGGCAUCAUUUCACCUCUGAAGACGAUAAUACCUUACAAGACCUAAAAGCAAUAACGGGAUACAUUGUUGGAGGCUGUCUCAUCUUAUUCCUUCUGUUUUUCCUUCUCUACUGCAAGUGGCAUUUUGGUGCAAUUUUUCAGAAGACAUCUAGAGUUAUAAAGCAGCAAGAGUCCUCCAGCCAUGAUGAGUCCCACAUGGAGAACAAGCUGAGAAGGGAUAUAUGCACAGUUUACGCACUGAUUGGUGAUGACCAGACACAGCCCAGAAUGAUGUGA